GACUGGGAUAACACCUGGAAACAGAUGCUAAUACCGGAUAACAACACUAGACGCAUGUCUAGAGUUUGAAAGAUGGUUCUGCUAUCACUCUUGGAUGGACCUGCGGUGCAUUAGCUAGUUGGUAAGGUAACGGCUUACCAAGGCAAUGAUGCAUAGCCGAGUUGAGAGACUGAUCGGCCACAUUGGGACUGAGACACGGCCCAAACUCCUACGGGAGGCAGCAGUAGGGAAUCUUCCACAAUGGACGAAAGUCUGAUGGAGCAACGCCGCGUGAGUGAAGAAGGGUUUCGGCUCGUAAAGCUCUGUUGGUAGUGAAGAAAGAUAGAGGUAGUAACUGGCCUUUAUUUGACGGUAAUUACUUAGAAAGUCACGGCUAACUACGUGCCAGCAGCCGCGGUAAUACGUAGGUGGCAAGCGUUGUCCGGAUUUAUUGGGCGUAAAGCGAGUGCAGGCGGUUCAAUAAGUCUGAUGUGAAAGCCUUCGGCUCAACCGGAGAAUUGCAUCAGAAACUGUUGAACUUGAGUGCAGAAGAGGAGAGUGGAACUCCAUGUGUAGCGGUGGAAUGCGUAGAUAUAUGGAAGAACACCAGUGGCGAAGGCGGCUCUCUGGUCUGCAACUGACGCUGAGGCUCGAAAGCAUGGGUAGCGAACAGGAUUAGAUACCCUGGUAGUCCAUGCCGUAAACGACCAGUACUGAGUGUUGGGAGGUUUCCGCCUCUCAGUGCUGCAG
rnacentral:rRNA from 1 species